rnacentral:rRNA from 1 species
GAUUCCUACGGGAGGCAGCAGUGAGGAAUAUUGGGCAAUGGAGGCAACUCUGACCCAGCCAUGCCGCGUGCAGGAAGACGGUCCUAUGGAUUGUAAACUGCUUUUAUACGGGAAGAAACACUCCGACGUGUCGGAACUUGACGGUACCGUAAGAAUAAGGAUCGGCUAACUCCGUGCCAGCAGCCGCGGUAAUAAU